rnacentral:misc_RNA from 1 species
UUUCCGUAGGUGAACCUGCGGAAGGAUCAUUCAUAAUAAAGUGUUUUAUGGCACUUUUUAAAAAUCCAUAUUCACCUUGUGUGCAAUGUUAGAUCUCGUCAAUCCCGGCGAGAUUUUUAUACACCAACUCAUUCUUUAACUAAUUUGUCUGAAAAAUAUUAUGAAUACUUAAUUCAAAAUACAACUUUCAACAACGGAUCUCUUGGCUCUC